rnacentral:rRNA from 1 species
AUUGAACGCUGGCGGCAUGCCUUACACAUGCAAGUCGAACGGUAACGCGGGGCAACCUGGCGACGAGUGGCGAACGGGUGAGUAAUGUAUCGGAACGUGCCCAGUUGUGGGGGAUAACUGCUCGAAAGAGCAGCUAAUACCGCAUACGACCUGAGGGUGAAAGCGGGGGAUCGCAAGACCUCGCGCAAUUGGAGCGGCCGAUAUCAGAUUAGGUAGUUGGUGGGGUAAAGGCCUACCAAGCCUACGAUCUGUAGCUGGUCUGAGAGGACGACCAGCCACACUGGGACUGAGACACGGCCCAGACUCCUACGGGAGGCAGCAGUGGGGAAUUUUGGACAAUGGGGGCAACCCUGAUCCAGCCAUGCCGCGUGCGGGAAGAAGGCCUUCGGGUUGUAAACCGCUUUUGUCAGGGAGGAAAUCCUUUGAACUGAUACUUCGGAGGGAUGACGGUACCUGAAGAAUAAGCACCGGCUAACUACGUGCCAGCCGCCGCAGUAAUAC